GCCGCGAGUGCCGCCGUGCCACGCGUCCGCAAGAGGAUCUCCUUUCCUCCACGGCAUGCUGCCGUUAUUUCCUCCCUCCACCGUGCGACACGCACGCCAUGCGAACCGCCAUUUUUGGCCUAUAAAUAGGCCACGGCUUCUCUUGGUUUAGGGAUCUCCUUGGGUGUGUGUUUGGUUUUGUUUGUGAAUUUUAGGUUUUCAAA